GAACGCACCUUGCGCCUCUUGGUAUUCCGAGAGGCAUGCCUGUUUGAGUGUCAUUAAAUUCUCAACUUCAAAAGCUUUGUCUUUUUGAAGCUUGGAUGUGAAGGCUUGCUGGCGUUUUAAAUGUUCAGCUCCUUUGAAAAGUAUUAGUGGACCCGUUUGUGUUCAUCCUUAGUGUGAUAAUUAUCUACGCUAUGGCUUUGAAUGCAUGCUCAUUAGAAUCUUCGAGCUGUUUUACUGCAGUCUUGGUGUGGAGAGUUGCAUGAAUUUGCUCUUUCUGUCUCUUGAGUCAGGAUUGUCUGCUUCAAACCGUCUACAUUGUAGACAAUUUUGAACCAUUUGACCUCAAAUCAGGUAGGAUUACCCGCUGAACUUAAG
rnacentral:misc_RNA from 1 species